UUUAGCACAAUAGAUACAGACACCAAAAAAGGACAGCUAAAUUUUGAGAGAAAGCCACGCUAUUUAGGAAAUUAACCCUCUUUUUAAGCUGAAAUCGUUUCUUAAACUUUCUUAAGACGAUAAAUCCAUUUCAUAUUACAACCCAGAAUUCUUGUUAAUUAUGUUCCUUCCCAUUAAAGUAAGGAACAAGAAACUUUUUAAAAUCUUCACAUAUAUUAGCCAAAGGUUAGAUUAAAAAUACAUUAUGGCUUUUAACACUUGUGCUAUUCUGACUUUGAAGUGGGCAUAUUAAAACUCUAAGCUAUGGCAUAUACAUGGUUGCCGGGAACAUGGCAGAAUUGCUAUAGCAACACAAUCACUAGUUUUGCUCCUGAAAUGCCCUAUUUGAGUUGCAAGUAAUCUAGUGAAGAAUGGUCCUUGGACUCUUGUUUCUUAUUGCAGUUUCUAUGUGAGCCUAGGGGUGGGUAGCUUUCGAUCUUCUGAAA
rnacentral:lncRNA from 1 species